rnacentral:rRNA from 1 species
UGGGGAAUAUUGGGCAAUGGGCGCAAGCCUGACCCAGCAACGCCGCGUGAAGGAAGAAGGUCUUCGGAUUGUAAACUUUUGUCUUAUGGGACGAUAAUGACGGUACCAUAGGAGGAAGCCACGACUAACUACGUGCCAGCAGUCGCGGUAAUACGUAGGUGGCAAGCGUUAUCCGGAAUUAUUGGGUGUAAAGGGUGCGUAGGCGGGAUGUAAAGUCAGAUGUGAAAUGCCGCGGCUUAACUGCGGAGCUGCAUUUGAAACUUACGUUCUUGAGUGAAGUAGAGGUAAGCGGAAUUCCUAGUGUAGCGGUGAAAUGCGUAGAUAUUAGGAGGAACACCGGUGGCGAAGGCGGCUUACUGGGCUUAAACUGACGCUGAGGCACGAAAGUGUGGGGAGCAAACAGG